AACGAACACUGGCGGCAGGCUUAACACAUGCAAGUCGAGCGCCCCGCAAGGGGAGCGGCAGACGGGUGAGUAACGCGUGGGAAUCUACCCAUCUCUACGGAAUAACGCAUGGAAACGUGUGCUAAUACCGUAUACGUCCUUCGGGAGAAAGAUUUAUCGAAGAUGGAUGAGCCCGCGUUGGAUUAGUUAGUUGGUGGGGUAAAGGCCUACCAAGGCGACGAUCCAUAGCUGGUCUGAGAGGAUGAUCAGCCACACUGGGACUGAGACACGGCCCAGACUCCUACGGGAGGCAGCAGUGGGGAAUAUUGGACAAUGGGCGCAAGCCUGAUCCAGCCAUGCCGCGUGAGUGAUGAAGGCCCUAGGGUUGUAAAGCUCUUUCACCGGUGAAGAUAAUGACGGUAACCGGAGAAGAAGCCCCGGCUAACUUCGUGCCAGCCGCCGCGGUAAAAC
rnacentral:rRNA from 1 species